rnacentral:rRNA from 1 species
UGGGGAAUAUUGCACAAUGGGGGAAACCCUGAUGCAGCGACGCCGCGUGAACGAAGAAGGUAUUCGUAUCGUAAAGUUCUGUCCUAUGGGAAGAUAAUGACAGUACCAUAGAAGAAAGCUCCGGCUAAAUACGUGCCAGCAGCCGCGGUAAUACGUAUGGAGCGAGCGUUGUCCAGAAUUAUUGGGCGUAAAGGGUACGCAGGCGGUUUAAUAAGUCGAAUGUUAAAGAUCGGGGCUCAACCCCGCAAAGCAUUGGAAACUGAUAAACUUGAGUAGUGGAGAGGAAAGUGGAAUUCCUAGUGUAGUGGUGAAAUACGUAGAUAUUAGGAGGAAUACCAGUAGCGAAGGCGACUUUCUGGACACAAACUGACGCUGAGGUACGAAAGCGUGGGGAGCAAACAGG